UCCGGUUUGUCACCGGCGGUCUCCUUAGAGUGCCCAACUUAAUGCUGGCAACUAAGGACAAGGGUUGCGCUCGUUGCGGGACUUAACCCAACAUCUCACGACACGAGCUGACGACAGCCAUGCAGCACCUGAGCAGGAUGGUAUUGCUACCUCGUUGGGCUUUCACCCUUCUACUACCUGCAUGUCCAGCCUGGGUAAGGUUCUUCGCGUUGCGUCGAAUUAAACCACAUGCUCCACCGCUUGUGCGGGCCCCCGUCAAUUCCUUUGAGUUUCAACCUUGCGAUCGUACUCCCCAGGUGGAUUACUUAACGCUUUCGCUUAGUCGCUGACAGUGUAUCGCCAACAGCUAGUUAUCAUCGUUUACGGCGUGGACUAC
rnacentral:misc_RNA from 1 species